GAUGAACGCUGGCGGCGUGCUUAAUACAUGCAAGUCGAUCGAACAGACGAGGAGCUUGCUCCUCUGACGUUAGCGGCGGACGGGUGAGUAACACGUGGAUAACCUACCUAUAAGACUGGGAUAACUUCGGUAAACCGGAGCUAAUACCUGCUAAUAUAUUGAACCGCAUGGUUCAAUAGUGAAAGACGGUUUUGCUGUCACUUAUAGAUGGAUCCGCGCCGCAUUAGCUAGUUGGUAAGGUAACGGCUUACCAAGGCAACGAUGAGUAGCCGACGUGAGAGGGUGAUCGGCCACACUGGAACUGAGACACGGUCAAGACCCCUACGGAAGGGAGCAGUAGGGAAUCUUCCGCAGAGGGCGAAAGCCUGACGGAGCAACGCCGCGUGAGUGAUGAAGGUCUUCGGACCGUAAAACUCUGUUAUUAGGGAAGAACAAAUGUGUAAGUAACUAUGCACGUCUUGACGGUACCUAAUCAGAAAGCCACGGCUAACUCCGUG
rnacentral:rRNA from 1 species